rnacentral:rRNA from 1 species
AACGAACGCUGGCGGCAUGCCUAACACAUGCAAGUCGAACGAGACCUUCGGGUCUAGUGGCGCACGGGUGCGUAACGCGUGGGAAUCUACCCUUGGGUUCGGAAUAACUCAGAGAAAUUUGAGCUAAUACCGGAUGAUGUCGCAAGACCAAAGAUUUAUCGCCCAAGGAUGAGCCCGCGUAGGAUUAGCUUGUUGGUGAGGUAAAAGCUCACCAAGGCGACGAUCCUUAGCUGGUCUGAGAGGAUGAUCAGCCACACUGGGACUGAGACACGGCCCAGACUCCUACGGAGGCAGCAGUGGGGAAUAUUGGACAAUGGGCGAAAGCCUGAUCCAGCAAUGCCGCGUGAGUGAUGAAGGCCUUAGGGUUGUAAAAGGCUCUUUUACCCGGGAUGAUAAUGACAGUACCGGGAGAAAUAAGACCCCGGCUAACUCCGUGCCAGCAGCC